GCCUUCCUGUGUGAAAUUAUAGAAAAGUAGGAGACAGUGUCUCCACCCGAUUCUUAUCCUUCAUCAUUUCCAGGGAAGGGAUAAAGACAAGCACACACCUCGAUCUCAUGCAGGCAGGAAGGCUGCCUGGAACCUCUCCCCUCUAAGGACAGUUUUGGAGGAGGACAAGCCUGCUGUGGACCAGUCAAGACUGGAACUUGAGGUUUCUGUGUCCUCACUAGGAAUCAAGAAUGGAUAAGACAAGCAUGAGCCAAUGGUAUGCACAGAAGGAGAAGAUAACUCCAAGGUACCAAGGCAGCAAUCGCCACCAGAGUCUCCUGGACCAGAGAAAGAUACUUCCCUAAGUAGAAUGAGCCCACCAGGUCCUCUCAUCAACUACUGCUCGGAACCAUGUUGACAACUCCAGAAACAAACCUAGUUUGUAAAAAAAAAAAAAAAAAAAAAAAAAAAAAAAAAAAAAAAAAAAAAAACCAAACAAACAAAAGACAAAACAAACCCAAAAACGGUGUGUGUCUCCUUUGUCCUAAGGGGGUUUUAAUGAAAGCAAAUGCCUCUGUCCUCUCUUUCACAGAA
rnacentral:lncRNA from 1 species